UUGCCAACCCUUACGACAU
rnacentral:siRNA from 1 species